rnacentral:lncRNA from 1 species
AUGUGUAUUCAUCAGCAACUGUGUAUAGUAAUAAAGAAUGACAUGUGUGUUUUUUGUGUGUUAACAGAGCCUGAAGACACCAACCCUGAGUCAGACGCUGCGAUAGAAGAGGCUGAAGAAACACCAGCAGCUGAAGAGAAACCUGCUGAAGCAGAAGCAGAAGAAGCAGCGGCUCCUGAAGCAGAUGACGCCGAUGCAACUAAAACAGAAGCCGAUCCACCUGCUGAAGAUCCUGAACAAGAAAUCAAGCCCGAAGAAGCUCCAGAUGAUGCAGAAACAGAGGAAGCACAAGAGGAAGCAGAAGGAGACUUUACUGCUGUACCAGAGGAACCUGUGGACCCUGAAGGGGCUGUGGAAGAUAUGUCUGCAGAAUUCGAUCUUUCUGAUGCGUUCGAAGAGAAAGCACAACCACAGGAUCCAGUAAAGACAAAAAUGGGAGAUGCAGACCAGCACAGCGCAGGUCAAGGCAGAGCUCGCAGUGCUGGAGCAGUUUCUGAGCCGAACGACAGUGGAUCUGGUACGGUUGUUGGUGUUGUUUGUGGGAUUGCAGUAGCAGCUGUUGGUGCCAUAAUCGGAUACUUCACCUACCAGAAGAAGAAACUGUGCUUCAAGGUCCAGAGAGGUGAUCCAGAGAGUGCCAAAGAAGAGAACGGCACACAGAACCCUGAGGUUUUAAGCACCCUCCUGAAGUCAUCUGAACACGCCCCUGCAGCCGGCAGUGAACUUGCGUGA